AUGGACGACGACGACGCCGGGGGCGGCGGCGACGCGUCCCCGCAGCACGAGGGCGGGGGCGGGGCGGUGGUGAUCGAGCGCGGGGCGGGGGCGACGGCGCCCGCGCGGGACGCCGCGGCGGCCUCGCCGACGAGCUCGCGGUCGGUGACGGAGACGGUGAACGGGUCGCACCGGUUCGUGAUCCAGGGCUACUCCCUCGCCAAGGGCAUGGGCGUGGGCAAGCACAUCGCCAGCGAGACCUUCGCCGUGGGCGGCUACCAGUGGGCGAUCUACUUCUACCCGGACGGGAAGAACCCCGAGGACAACUCCGCCUACGUCUCCGUCUUCAUCGCGCUCGCCUCCGAGGGCACCGACGUCCGCGCCCUCUUCGAGCUCACCCUCCAGGACCAGAGCGGCCGGGGCAAGCACAAGGUGCACUCCCACUUCGACCGCGCCCUCGACGCCGGGCCCUACACCCUCAAGUACCGCGGAUCCAUGUGGGGUUAUAAAAGGUUUUUUCGACGUACUGCUCUUGAGACAUCGGACUUUCUUAAAGACGAUUGCUUGAAGAUAAAUUGUACUGUGGGCGUUGUAACAUCAACCAUGGAAUACUCUAGGCCACAUUCUCUAGAGGUUCCGGAUUCUGACAUAGGCUACCAUUUUGGGACGCUUUUGGACUCUCAAGAGGGUGCAGAUGUUAUUUUUAGUGUAGCAGGAGAGAAGUUUCAUGCUCAUAAGUUAGUGUUGGCUGCCCGAUCUUCUUUUUUUAGAUCUGAAUUUCUUGAUCCUGAAUCAGAUGAAGAAAACAGUGAAGUCGACACAAGUAACGAAAUCAAAGAGAUUGUCAUCGAUGACAUGGAGCCAAAAGUAUUUCAGGCUGUGCUUCACUUCAUGUACAGGGACAAUCUUGUUGGUGAUGACGAAUUGUCUGCAUCAAGCUCAGAUUGUCCCAUCUUUGAUACUUUAGCUGGGAAAUUGUUGGCUGCAGCAGACAAAUAUGAGUUGCCAAGGCUAAGAGUGUUAUGUGAAUCUUACUUGUGCAAACAGAUUUCUGUAAAAUCUGUGGCAACUACUCUAGCGCUGGCUGAUCGGCAUCAUGCUACAGAGCUCAAGUCCGUCUGCCUAAAAUUUGCUGCUGAGAACCUUUCAGCUGUAAUCCGGACCGACGGAUUCGAUUACCUCAAAGACAACUGCCCGGCGCUACAGUCAGAGAUCCUCCGGACAGUAGCCGGGUGCGAGGAGGAAUGCAGCAGCGGGGGCAAGAGCCAGAGCGUGUGGGGCCAGAUCUCGGAUGGCGGCGACACCAGCGGGCGCAGGGUGAGGCCCAGGGUCUAA
rnacentral:rRNA from 1 species